rnacentral:lncRNA from 1 species
GCAUCAGCGCCGGGCCUGCCGUUCCCGCUGCUGGAACCCUUCACGACCCCCGCCCCUGCCCCCACCGGACCGUUCCUGCCCUACUUGAACCCUGCGCCCUUUGGCCUAAGCCCCCCGCGCCUGCGCCCCUUCCUGGCCGCUGCACCCGGGCCGCCGGCUUCCAGCGCCGCCGUCUGGAAAAAGAGCCAAGGUGAGUGUGGGGUCGGGGGCCUCCAGGAGGGCUGGCUGGGCUCGCCCUGACUCUGAACUUGACCCGCCCCUUUACCGCAGGUGCUGGCAGCAGCCCCCGAAGACCCCAGGGCGGCUCCGACGCGCCCUCAGGGCACGCGGCCCCGAGCCGCAUCGUGUGGGAGCACACACGCGGCCGC